GAUGAACGCUGGCGGCAGGCCUAAUACAUGCAAGUCGAGCGAAGCGGGGACGGGUGAGUAACACGUGGGUAACCUCCUAUAAGACUGGGAUAACACCGGGAACGGUGAGCUAAACCGGAAACUUAUAGUUGGAUCUGCGCUGGAUUAGCUAGUAGUGAAGGUAACGGCUUACCAAGGCAACGAUGCAUAGCCGACCUGAGAGGAUGAUCGGCCACACUGGAACUGAGACACGGUCCAGACUCCUACGGGAGGCAGCAGUAGGGAAUCUUCCACAAUGGGCGAAAGCCUGACGGAGCAAUGCCGCGUGAAUGAAGAAGGUCUUCGGAUCGUAAAGCUCUGUUAGUAGGGAGGCGUUACCUAAACAGAAAGCAACGGCUAACUACGUGCCAGCAGCCGCGGUAAUAC
rnacentral:rRNA from 1 species